ACCGAAUGGAAAGUUAAUCCACUCCGGCGAAACGACUGACAAAGUCACGGUGACUAAAUCCGGUAAAUUGAUUCUACGCAAUCCCGAAAUAACGGAUGCUGGACUUUAUCGGUGCAUUGCCACAGCGACCGAACUUGAAUCUUCAAAAUCUCUCUCGACAGAACACAAAUCUUCUGUUGCAAAUGAAAUUGCAACUUUGAAACUCUACGUUUCGCCAAGAUUUAAAGAUAGUGGGAUACCAAAUGUCCGAUUUCAUACUAAUCAACUUCAGCUUGAAACAGUUGAGUGGAAUGGAAAUUUCUCAUUCCGAUUUCCGAUUGAGGCAUCUCCGGAGAGUAAGUUUGCUUGGAUAACUCCUUCCAAUCAGCUGAUAACCAGUGACAGAAGAGUUCGUCAAAGUGGAGUGCGAACAAAUCAAAAUGGAGGAAUUGAAAUAUACAAUUUUCAGAAAUCUCACGAAGGGUUGUACAGAUUUAUAGCAGCAAAUAUUGCGGGUAUAGCUGAGUACUCUGUAUAUGUGGGCAUAAAAACAACGGAUGAUCAGCAUAUAGAAACUGUUGAAGUUGUUUCCGAAAGUGA